rnacentral:rRNA from 1 species
CGGCGGACGGGUGAGUAAUGUCUGGGAAACUGCCUGAUGGAGGGGGAUAACUACUGGAAACGGUAGCUAAUACCGCAUAACGUCGCAAGACCAAAGAGGGGGACCUUAGGGCCUCUUGCCAUCGGAUGUGCCCAGAUGGGAUUAGCUAGUAGGUAAGGUAACGGCUUACCUAGGCGACGAUCCCUAGCUGGUCUGAGAGGAUGAUCAGCCACACUGGGACUGAGACACGGCCCAG